GAGCGAGCAAGCCAGGGAGCAAGCCGGGGAGGAGCAGGGAAGGAGUCCGUCCACCAGCAGGCCAAGACUAGAAGUCUUCACCACUCUCUGCAUCUUCAGCAGGUAUCACCAAUAAGGCACAGAGAUCCACUGACAUCAAAUUGUUGCUGCUGGCUAUUUCUCAUUCAGGAGAGAGAACAAACAGCUCAAGAGAGAUGAAAAAGAGAAAAUUUCCAAACGCAGAAAGCAGUGGCCGUCGCGUCUGUUUCCAAGACAAGAAUGCAGUGCAAGCAACAGGUCCAUAUGAUCGAGAGAAGAAGGCUGGAAUUACAUGGCCCUCACCUCCUCUCCAUACUCCAGUGCAACAGGAACCCUUGGAAGGGAGCAGCACCACCAGUGGUCAACAUCAGUACUACAGUCCUCACAAGAGCCACUUCCAUGAGAAAGACACUAAAGAUCCUUCCUUGAGACCAGAUGG